rnacentral:rRNA from 1 species
AUUGAACGCUGGCGGCAGGCCUAACACAUGCAAGUCGAGCGGAUGAAGGGAGCUUGCUCCUGGAUUCAGCUGCGGACGGGUGAGUAAUGCCUAGGAAUCUGCCUGGUAGUGGGGGAUAACGUCCGGAAACGGGCGCUAAUACCGCAUACGUCCUGAGGGUGAAAGUGGGGGAUCUUCGGACCUCACGCUAUCAGAUGAGCCUAGGUCGGAUUAGCUAGUUGGUGGGGUAAAGGCCUACCAAGGCGACGAUCCGUAACUGGUCUGAGAGGAUGAUCAGUCACACUGGAACUGAGACACGGUCCAGACUCCUACGGGAGGCAGCAGUGGGGAAUAUUGGACAAUGGGCGAAAGCCUGAUCCAGCCAUGCCGCGUGUGUGAAGAAGGUCUUCGGAUUGUAAAGCACUUUAAGUUGGGAGGAAGGGAAGUAAGUUAAUACCUUGCUGUUUUGACGUUACCAACAGAAUAAGCACCGGCUAACUUCGUG